rnacentral:rRNA from 1 species
GACGAAGGUGGCGAGCGUUGUUCGGAAUCACUGGGCUUAAAGGGCGCGUAGCGGGCUGCCAAGUUUGGGGUGAAAUCCUCCGGCUCAACCGGAGCAGUGCCUCGAAUACUGGCGGUCUCGAGGGAGGUAGGGGCGUGCGGAACUGUGGGUGGAGCGGUGAAAUGCGUUGAUAUCCACAGGAACUCCGGUGGCGAAGGCGGCACGCUGGACCUUUUCUGACGCUGAGGCGCGAAAGCCAGGGGAGCGAACGGG